UAAAACCUAUUUCUCUCCCUCAAACGCAAACGUAUCUCUCUCUGUCGUUCCCCCCACUCCUCUUCUACCUGUGGCUCUGCUACCCCAAACAGAUUCUAUUCUACAAAAAAAACAGAACCGCCGCAUCCAAAAAAAAAAAACACAGAGCCGUGAAACGCCGAGACAGAGAUAGCAAUUUGAUUUUGAGGGUCCUUCACCAUUCUCUUUGAUUUUCGGGUUGUGGCCUACUUCCUCUCAAAAGUUUCUUUGCAGAGAUGAAGUGGAAUACUCUAAUUUCAUCACAGCAAAGACCCCAGCUUCUUUUCCAAUUUCCUCCUUUAGUAACCCACGGAUUAUUUUCUGCUUUCUGUUAUGCACAGCGAAAGACCAAAUCUAUAUAGUUUAGAAGCUGUCUGCAAAUCCCAGCAAUAGCAAAGUGAAAAGGGAAAAGAAAGCUAUGAGUAAUGGACAUAGACAUGAGUUAUUAAAACACUAAACAAUUGUAUCUUUUUGGUGGUUUGCUAUUGUACUUGCUACAUGCAAUGAGAAUUACUAUAGUUCACAAUCGAAUGAGUUUUACCAUAGUUAACAAAUGAGUUUCUUUUGGAACAUCUGACUCCUCCUGCCAACAGUUUGAAGCCAUGUCAUAUCAUGUACAACAAUGAAGAUGACAAUGGGAGAGAUAUUUUCCAAAGAUUAUAUUGAAAUUUUAUUGUUUAAUAGAUUGUGCUGAUUUUUUUUUCGACCCAAUUCUUUUUAUGUAAAUAAUUAUAUUAGAGGGUACUUGUGUCUGGUUUGUAUUCUAUAUUUGAUUGAAUUGUAGUUUAGAUGAAUCUUUGGGUUUGGAACAGGAUAUGGAGUUCGUACAUAACCCAUUUUGGUCCUUAAUUGUAUUGUGGAAAAAUUUAUUGCAGAGAGAUGAUUAGAGUCAAAAUAAUUAUGCUGCUA